rnacentral:rRNA from 1 species
CAGCCGCCGCGGUAAUACGUAGGGGGCGAGCGUUGUCCGGAUUUAUUGGGCGUAAAGAGCUCGUAGGCGGCUCAGCAAGUCGGCCGUGAAAACCUGAGGCUCAACCUCAGGACGCCGGUCGAAACUGCUGUGGCUAGGGUUCGGUAGAGGAGAGUGGAAUUCCCGGUGUAGCGGUGAAAUGCGCAGAUAUCGGGAGGAACACCAGUAGCGAAGGCGGCUCUCUGGGCCGAUACCGACGCUGAGGAGCGAAAGCUAGGGGAGCAAACAGGAUUAGAUACCCUGGUAGUCCUAGCCGUAAACGUUGGGAACUAGGUGUGGCGGAUUCAUUGACAUCUGCCGUGCCGAAGCUAACGCAUUAAGUUCCCCGCCUGGGGAGUACGGUCGCAAGGCUAAAACUCAAAGGAAUUGACGGGAGCCCGCACAAGCGGCGGAGCAUGCGGCUUAAUUCGAUGGUACCCGAAGAACCUUACCUGGACUUGACAUAAUGGGAAAAACCCUAGAGAUAGGGUGUGCGUAAGCGUCCAUUACAGGUGGUGCAUGGCUGUCGUCAGCUCGUGUCGUGAGAUGUUGGGUUAAGUCCCGCAACGAGCGCAACCCCUAUCCUAUGUUGCCAGCGGAUUAUGCCGGGGACUCAUGGGAGACUGCCGGGGACAACUCGGAGGAAGGCGGGGACGACGUCAAGUCAUCAUGCCCCUUAUGUCCAGGGCUGCACGCAUGCUACAAUGGCAGGUACAACGGGCAGCGAUCCCGCGAGGGUGAGCGAAUCCUUUAAAGCCUGUCUCAGUUCGGAUCGGAGUCUGCAACUCGACUCCGUGAAGUCGGAGUCGCUAGUAAUCGCGAAUCAGCUAUGUCGCGGUGAAUACGUUCUCGGGCUUUGUACACACCGCCCGUCACAUCACGAAAGUUGGCAACACCCGAAGUCAGUGGCCCAACCGCAAGGAGGGAGCUGCCGAAGGUGGGGUCAGCGAUUGGGAUGAAGUCGUAACAAGGUAGCCGUA